GACGAACGCUGGCGGCGUGCUUAACACAUGCAAGUCGAACGGAAAGGCCCUGCUUUUGUGGGGUGCUCGAGUGGCGAACGGGUGAGUAACACGUGAGUAACCUGCCCUUGACUUUGGGAUAACUUCAGGAAACUGGGGCUAAUACCGGAUAGGAGCUCCUGCUGCAUGGUGGGGGUUGGAAAGUUUCGGCGGUUGGGGAUGGACUCGCGGCUUAUCAGCUUGUUGGUGGGGUAGUGGCUUACCAAGGCUUUGACGGGUAGCCGGCCUGAGAGGGUGACCGGCCACAUUGGGACUGAGGUACGGCCGAGACUCCUACGGGAGGCAGCAGGGGGGAAUGUGGCACAAUGGGCGGAAGCCUGAUGCAGCAACGCCGCGUGCGGGAUGAAGGCCUUCGGGUUGUAAACCGCUUUCGCCUGUGACGAAGCGUGAGUGACGGUAAUGGGUAAAGAAGCACCGGCUAACUACGUG
rnacentral:rRNA from 1 species